UUGUUCAUUAUCUGUAUUAUCAGAAAGUUGCACCAUGUUUCUACUUUUAAAUGUAGUUAUAUAUUAGAACAUAAUGUUUCAUUUUCUAUUUGUCUCUUUAGAUUUGAAUGUAUUGUCCCAGAGGGAUAUUUGUUUUCACAGUCAGUACACAGAAACAUGGAUAUACAUACAGCAACACAUAGCAACUGAACAUACACAUGGCAACAUAUAGAUAAACACAUGGCCACAUACAGUUAUGGACGGUACACAAAAACUUAAUGUAUACAUUUAAUCAAUUAUCCAAGUUCACAACCGUGUCCACGAGGCAGAUUGUUCAAGGCUGCAGAAGGAACUUUUACUUCUGACCUCUUUCCUUCCCAGAGCAAAUAUGCUCUGUAAGAUCUUGUUCAGAAUUAACUUGGCAUCAAGUCACAUAUCUGACACAUAAGCCGUUGUAAUGGAUAUUAUUGCAUCAUAUUAAAGACGAUAUCUCUCUAGUCGUUGGCGUCGAUGAUCAUGUUGAUGCUUAGAAACAGAUUGACCAAGAUUUGUUAACAUGCCCUCGUCUGUGUGGCACUUUUCCAGCUCUGAGUCAGGAGACUGUUCUCCACGUGCGGUGACGCAGACUCAUCACAGGGUUUCACAGCCCUCAGAAUGAACUUCUUACUGGACCAGGUCCAGUACUCAUAGCUGGUCACAAGCUGGUCUCCGUGUUCCCAGCUCAGCAGAAGGCACAGAUGGUAGGAGAACACAGCUGAUGGACAUGUGAUCCAGAGCUCUGUCCAGCAGACUGCAGCUUCCUUAUCCAGUUUAAAUGAUUAUCAAUGUAAAGGGAAAUGAUCUGUUGCUCUUGAUUGUUGAAUACAUGUUUUUGGUAGUAAGUAAAAUGUGAUGUUACAUGUGUUGACUAUCCAAUUGUUUAUAACAGCUUUUUAGUAUGAACAAAGGGAACCUAGUCGUACACGAACCAACCAGCCAGUCACACGAGGUAGACUUGUAGGUAGGUAGUUUUUCUCUAUUUUUAUAAUACUUAACAUUGUUCAGAAGUUGGCUAUAGUAAGUAUUAUUCUAAGAGUUGUUUACUAUUUAUUUAUUUAUUAAAUUCUAGUGUGAAAUGUUUUUCAGAUAAUCUGAUUUUCAUUUAGAUCUGUUUUGCACAAAAGUUCAUUAUACUUGAUUUUUGUUGUCCCAAUAAAAAAGGUUUUCUAAUAA